CCUACGGGUGGCAGCAGUGAGGAAUAUUGGUCAAUGGGCGCGAGCCUGAACCAGCCAAGUAGCGUGAAGGAUGACUGCCCUACGGGUUGUAAACUUCUUUUAUAAAGGAAUAAAGUGAGGCACGUGUGCCUUUUUGUAUGUACCUUAUGAAUAAGGAUCGGCGAAAUCCGUGCCAGCAGCCGCGGUAAUACGGAGGAUCCGAGCGUUAUCCGGAUUUAUUGGGUUUAAAGGGUGCGUAGUUGGGUUGUUAAGUCAGUUGUGAAAGUUUGCGGCUCAACCGUAAAAUUGCAAUUGAUACUGGCAGUCUUGAGUGCAGGAGAGGUAGGCGGAAUUCGUGGUGUAGCGGUGAAAUGCUUAGAUAUCACGAAGAACUCCGAUUGCGAAGGCAGCUUACUGGACUGCCACUGACGUUGAUGCUCGAAAGUGUGGGUAUCAAACAGGAUUAGAUACCCGUGUAGUC
rnacentral:rRNA from 1 species